GAUGAAGAACGUAGCGAAAUGCGAUAAGUAAUGUGAAUUGCAGAAUUCAGUGAAUCAUCGAAUCUUUGAACGCACAUUGCGCCCAUUAGUAUUCUAGUGGGCAUGCCUGUUCGAGCGUCAUUAAGUCCACUUAAGCCCUGCUUAGUGUUGGGAGACUGCUCCAGCGGUGCUACCCUGUAGCUACCCUGCAGCUCCUCAAAGACAGCGGCGGAGUUGUGGUAUCCUCUGAGCUUAGUAACUUGUUCUAGCUUUCGAGUACACCACUUCCCCUGCCGUAAAACCCUUAAUUUUUAUGGUUGACCUCGGAUCAGGUAGGAAUACCCGCUGAACUUAAGCAUAUCAAUAAGCGGAGGA
rnacentral:misc_RNA from 1 species